AGACAGCACCAAGCCAUGAGGUAUCCGCUCCCAUGAUCCAAACACCUCUCACCAGGCUCACCUCCAGCAUUUGGGAUUACAACUCAACAUCAGAUUUGGAUAGGGACAGAUAUCCAAACUCUAUCAAGGGCUAAUCAGGUCCAUGGUUCCUGACUUCUGACAGAGAUGGCAACUGGAAUCCAGGUUGUCUUCUGCCUUCUGCUUUGAUUUCUAUAUGAGGGUGCAUCAAAAUCCAUUCCGAUGGGCUUCCUUUAUAAAGACCCUUCCUUCCAGCAGGACAACAUCCAAGAAAAAGCCAGUGACUGUUCCUGAGGGCGCCUGUUAAGAGCUGGCUUUUUGGCUGUGGUGACCAGUCAGUCACGACCACUCUUCCGAGAGCAACACCAAGUGGAAACCCCGCCAAGUGGGCUUUUCAGGAACCCUCUCACCACCCAAGGCCUUUGGAUCUUAUAUCUAACAAAUUACAUGUUACAUUAUUUUUUAAAAAACAGGUUAGUGACAACUAAGAUAGUCUCUCCAGAAUUAGAGUCUGAUGUCAGAUUCAGAAAAUCCCCCGUUCCUUGGGAAUUCCCAUGUCACUCAUUCUGCAUUAAUGAUAUUUAUUCUCUCUCAUUGUUUUAUUCUUAAAAAAUAGCUCCC